GGAUUAGAUACCCUGGUAGUCCACGCUGUAAACGAUGAGAACUAGCCGUUGGUGUCCUAGAGGCAUUAGUGGCGCAGCAAACGCGAUAAGUUCUCCGCCUGGGGAGUACGGCCGCAAGGCUAAAACUCAAAUGAAUUGACGGGGGCCCGCACAAGCGGUGGAGCAUGUGGUUUAAUUCGAAGCAACGCGAAGAACCUUACCUACUCUUGACAUCCUCGGAAUCUGCUAGAGAUAGCGGAGUGCCUUCGGGAAUCGAGUGACAGGUGCUGCAUGGCUGUCGUCAGCUCGUGCCG
rnacentral:rRNA from 1 species